rnacentral:rRNA from 1 species
GAAUUGAAAAGUUAAUUUAUUAAUAUUAGUUAUUUUUUUUUUAAUUAAAAUAUUAAAUAUUUUAUUAUUUUUAAGAAAAAAUUUAUUUUAUAAUAGUUUAUAGUACUGAGAAGGAAAAUUUAAAAUAUAAAAAAGAAAAAUUAAAGUUUUGUACCUUGUGUAUCAGGGUUAAUUAAAAAAUAAUUUUAUAUUAAAUGUUCUCGAAUUUAAAAGAGCUAAUUAAUUAUUUAUUUUAUUGUAAAAUAAAUAUUUAAAAUAAUUAGUUAGAAAUGAAACGUUAUUCGUUUUUAAAUAUAUCUAGUUUUUAAAGAAAUGAAUUUAAUUCAUUUAUUAAUAAUUAAAAUUUUAAGUUUUUAAUUUUUUAUUAUUAAUAUGGAAUUUUUUUAGGGAUAAGCUUAAAAAAAUAUUUUUAUAAUAAAAAUAAAGUUUAAUAAAUUGUAGGAUUAAAAAUUUCUAUAAAUAAAAAAUUGUUAUAAUUAAUUAUUAAAAUAAUAUUAUUUAUAUUUUAUUUAAAUAUUUUAUUUAAAUAUAAAUUUGAAUAUAAAAAAUUUAGAAAUAAUGAUUAAAUUAGUAUAAAUUUUUGUUUAAAAUAAUUAAUUGAUUGAGGUUAAUUUAAGGAAUUCGGCAAAUUUAUUUUUCACCUGUUUAAUAAAAACAUGUCCUUUUGAUUAUAAUUUAAGGUCUAAUCUGCCCACUGAAGAUUUAAAUGGCCGCGGUAUUUUGACCGUGCAAAGGUAGCAUAAUAAUUAGUUUCUUAAUUAGAAGCUGGAAUGAAUGAUUGGAUGAGAAAAUAACUGUCUCAAAUUAAUUUUUAUAGAAUUUUAUUUUUAAGUUAAAAAGCUUAAAUUAUAUUAAAAGACGAGAAGACCCUAUAGAGUUUAAUUUAUAUUGGUAGUAUAAAAAUAUAGUUUUAAAUUUUUAUAUUAUUAAUAUAAAUUUUGUUGGGGUGAUAGAAAAAUUUAAUUAACUUUUUUUAAAUUUAAACAUUAAUUAAUGAAUUUUUGAUCCAGUAAUUAUUGAUUAAAAGAAUAAAUUACCUUAGGGAUAACAGCGUAAUUUUUUUAGAGAGUUCAAAUCGAAAAGAAAG